rnacentral:rRNA from 1 species
AUUGAACGCUGGCGGAAUGCUUUACACAUGCAAGUCGAACGGCAGCACGGGGGCAACCCUGGUGGCGAGUGGCGAACGGGUGAGUGAUACAUCGGAACGUGCCCAGUCGUGGGGGAUAACGUAGCGAAAGCUACGCUAAUACCGCAUACGAUCUACGGAUGAAAGCGGGGGAUCGCAAGACCUCGCGCGAUUGGAGCGGCCGAUGGCAGAUUAGGUAGUUGGCGGGGUAAAGGCUCACCAAGCCUUCGAUCUGUAGCUGGUCUGAGAGGACGACCAGCCACACUGGGACUGAGACACGGCCCAGACUCCUACGGGAGGCAGCAGUGGGGAAUUUUGGACAAUGGGCGAAAGCCUGAUCCAGCCAUUCCGCGUGCAGGAUGAAAGGCCCUCGGGUUGUAAACUGCUUUUGUACGGAACGAAACGGCCUUUUCUAAUAACAGAGGGCUAAUGACGAUACCGUAAGAAUAAGCACCGGCAACUACGUGCCAGCAGCC